UAUAUUGAGGGAAGAUAAAUUCACAAUUAUCUUCAAUCAAUCGAAAGAGAAGGCAAAAACAAAGACGAGCUAUCGUUUCAGUCGUCAUCUUGUACAUUUUUUUUCUCAAUUGACGAUUCGAUUGUUGACUCGCCUACAU
rfam:Spinacia oleracea cultivar SynViroflay scaffold86912.con0001.1, whole genome shotgun sequence.